UUUAGCUAGACAUUUGAUGAUUCUUUGUAAUGGAGGAAAUCACCAUUAUUCAAAACACUUCUGCCUCCUACUUGUUCUUCUGUUCCUGCUCUCAGCCACACCAGUCUUGGUAUGACCCAUUCUCUUGAAUGCAGUUUCUUGGCUAAAGCUCCUGAAGCUGUUUCCUGAAUAUGCAUUUUUGAAGAUGGCAAUUCAGAAUAAGGGGAGGAAAGUCAGGUUUUGGAAGUACAAUUUGAAGAAUCUGAGACACAGUAGUAUGAAAAACCAUUUAACAAGAGAAAAAAAACAUCUAAGGUAUUCCCAUUGGAAAACAUUUCUACUUUCAUCAUUGAUCUCACCACCUAACUUCAUGCUUCCUCACUAUGAAGAACAGCAAUUAAAACAGGAACUUUUCAAUUU